ACAAAUGUAGUGUAUAGCAAUAAUUCCUAAUGUGUAUCAAUGAAGUUUUAUCAAUUUUAUUGUUUUACACUUGACAUUAUUCAGUAAAUAUGAAGAUCUUCAGUAUAACCAAUUCAUGAGUCUGGUUAUAUAAUGCAUUUAGACACAUAACAUUAAAUAUUUAUAGGACCUAAAGCAGACUGCUGUCUUAUCACAGCAAAGCAAAAUCACCAGGACUUACCCUGUGUGUUAUGUUUAUGAAAACCUGCAGCAUGAGAAGGAUUUCCUGGUAGUUCAGCUCUAAGUUGAUCUUAAGUACUGGGAAAAUAUUGUGGCAGGAAUUCCUCUUUCAGAAAGCUCCGAGAACAAUGCUGUGAAAAGCUGCCAACACCCAGGUCACUGCUAACAGACACAAUCAAUCAGCAAACGUUUGUGAUGGUGCAGCACGUUCAUUAGUGCUUUCAGUGGGACUUUCAUUAUUUCAAGACAGGGCUGUGCCAGAUUCUCAGGGAGGAUAUAAUGAUGCUGGAACGGUUCACACGUUUCAUCAGGAAAAGGCACUGUCCCCUUUGGUGAACUGGACUCAAGAAAAACAUAUAAACCACUGGCAGCUCACAUCUUGAUAUCCAUCCUUUUAUUAAAUGCAUGUUAGGAGCUGAAUAGAUGGAUGCUGAACGAAGUCACUUUCGUCUACAGGAUUUUAAUCAGUGUGUCAUUUAUAUAUAUUUGGCCUCAUAUGAAUGAGUUUAGGUGUGGAACCGAAUGAGCCUCGUGAUGGAUGCCAGCCAUGCUUCAGUAAUACAAAAAUGUCUACAGUGUGGAAGAAUGCCACUUUGUUACUCUAUUUCAUUUCAUAUAUUAAACUAUUAGGCAACA